CUAUGUAUAAUUGAUUAUUUUAAUGGAAAAUAUUCAUUGCAUGUGAUUAAACCAUGAAUGCCAUAAACAAUAAAAGAGAAUUUAUUAUGUCUUGUACACUCAAAGAAUACUUUAAAAAUAUACAAUUGCUCAUGAUUUUAUCUUUUAUUUAUUCAUUAAUUCAGACAACUCAUUAAAACGAUCGAUGGAUUGCAUGGAUAAUGAAACGGCCGUAUCUUCGUCAUUGUAUUGCAUUUUUUUUCUAUUAUAUGUACAUAAUUCAUUAUUCAUUACGAUCGAAAAAACUGAAGGCCUUAGCAACACUGUUUUUGAACAAUCAAAUUUUAAAAACAAUGUAAAAUUACUUUCCAAACGUUUGAUCAGGCUCGAAAAAGGUUUUUAUAAGAUGAGUGACGGUCAUGCGUACACUGCACGAAUUAUAUCCAGGAAUAGCAAGUGUACAUUUUCCCAUGCAUGUACAUAGGUACGUGUUUUGUCAAAGAAUGAAUAAAUUUCCACUCUGAUUGUGUAAGCUGAGAUAUUAUAAUGCUCCAUCUACAUUGCACGCACGUAAUUCGAAUUCGCUUGGAUUUCGUAACUUUCUAUCCAAAGAAGAAUAACCCAGAAGAAUAAAAAUCAUUGCAAAUCAAUGAUUUCACAGCUACCUACUUUCAAUGCUUUAGAUGCGAUACGAGGGAAGAGACUAUAAUGAUGGAGGGGAGUAUAUAGCAACAUUCUUCAAUACCUUUCCAGAGGGUUUCUGACUAUUCCACUGAGCGAAGUUUAAAGGUACACGACGAGCUAUUGCGAAUCUUAGUGCUCAUAUUGAUCGAGCUUUGAUUAAUAUCAAUCGAUCAAUUGACAUAAAAGUG